rnacentral:rRNA from 1 species
GACGAACGCUGGCGGCGUGCUUAACACAUGCAAGUCGAACGGAGAGGCCCUGCUUUUGUGGGGUGCUCGAGUGGCGAACGGGUGAGUAACACGUGAGUAACCUGCCCUUGACUUUGGGAUAACUUCAGGAAACUGGGGCUAAUACCGGAUAGGAGCUCCUGCUGCAUGGUGGGGGUUGGAAAGUUUCGGCGGUUGGGGAUGGACUCGCGGCUUAUCCGCUUGUUGGUGGGGUAGUGGCUUACCAAGGCUUUGACGGGUAGCCGGCCUGAGAGGGUGACCGGCCACAUUGGGACUGAGAUACGGCCCAGACUCCUACGGGAGGCAGCAGUGGGGAAUAUUGCACAGUGGGCGGAAGCCUGAUGCAGCAACGCCGCGUGCGGGAUGACGGCCUUCGGGUUGUAAACCGCUUUCGCCUGUGACGAAGCGUGAGUGACGGUAAUGGGUAAAGAAGCACCGGCUAACUACGUG